CCCUUAGAUGUUCUGGGCCGCACGCGCGCUACACUGAUGCAUUCAACGAGUAAUCUUUGACCUUGGUCGACAGAUCUGGGUAAUCUUUUGAAAUUGCAUCGUGAUGGGGCUUGCGGGUUGCAAUUACCCGCACCAACGAGGAAUUCCUAGUAAACGCAAGUCAUCAACUUGCAUUGAUUACGUCCCUGCCCUUUGUACACACCGCCCGUCGCUACUACCGAUUGAACGGUUUAGUGAGGGCCUCGGAUUGGUCUCGGCCCGCUCUUUACCGGGCGGCGCCGUUGGUCGAGAAGACGCUCGAACUUGAUCGUUUAGAGGAAGUAAAAGUCGUAACA
rnacentral:rRNA from 1 species